AGGUCCUGCCUGCCCAGUGAAUCCUUUUAUCAACGGCCGCGGUAUUUUGACCGUGCAAAGGUAGCGUAAUCAUUUGUCUUUUAAAUGAAGACCUGUAUGAACGGCUCAACGAGGGCUUAACUGUCUCCUUUUUCUGGUCAAUGAAAUUGAUCCCCCCGUGCAAAAGCGGGGAUAUAUCCAUAAGACGAGAAGACCCUAUGGAGCUUUAGAUGUGACGCAAGCCUUAUCUGCUGCUUCUAAAUAAAGGAAUCAACACAUUAGCUCCUGCCUCAACAUCUUCGGUUGGGGUGACCAUGGGGAAAAAAAACCCCCACGUCCCUGUAC
rnacentral:rRNA from 1 species